rfam:Scleropages formosus scaffold11190, whole genome shotgun sequence.
AUUCUUUUUAACACACUUUAUUUAAUUGCACANAAAAAAAAAAAACCUGUUCUUCUCACUUUAAUAUCUGAUACAUCCCCCAUUGGGAGACCGCGUAUUAAACUGAUUUUUGGAACGGGGAAGGAGAUGCUGAGCUCGCUCCGGCCGCUCCACACAUUAGCCCAGUAUCGCAGUGCCUCCAGGAACAGUGCCUGGUAC